AUGCCUUGCUCAAGGGCACCUCAGUCGUUACCUGCCGGUCCUGAGAAUCCAACCGGCAACCUUCUGGUCACGAGUCCGACUCUCUAACCAUUAGGCCACGACUGCCACUGUUAUUUAUUGAUCAUAUUUAGUGUUUAGUGUUAAUGCUGUUGUUCAGUGUGCAGGAGGUUUUUGUACAGCCGCUGAAUGGGUUUGUAUCACUGUGGAGGACUUUUGGUGGAGGCACAAGACUCUCAGUUGGAACUAACGCUCAGCCGACUCUAACGGUCCUGUCGCCCUCCAGAGAUGAGUUGAAUCAGGGUAAAGCUUCAGUCAUGUGUGUGGCCAGUAAGGGAUUCCCCUCUGACUGGAAGUUGAGCUGGAAGGUGGAUGGUAACAGCAGGAGCUCUGGUGUGAAUCUGAGUCCUGGUGUCCUGCAGAAGGAUGGACUGUACAGCUGGAGCAGCAGUCUGAGUCUCACUCACAGUGAAUGGAGCUCAGCGAAAACCAUCAGCUGUGAGGCCACACAGAGCUCUCAGAAUCCAGUCUCCAAAAUCCUCAACACACAGGAGUGUGAUGUACAAUGAGAGCACACACACAUGCACAUGCAUGCACAAACACACAGACGUUUUAGUAAAAGUAACAAAAUU